rnacentral:piRNA from 5 species
CAUUUGGUGUAUGUGCUUGGCUGAG